ensembl:lncRNA
GGGCCUGGCUGGGAUGGGGCGGGGAAUGGCUGGGGGCGGAGACUGCUGUGGAUGGGGCGGAACCUGGCUUGCUGUGGGGUGGGGCCUGGCAGGGAUGGGGCGGAGCGUGGCUGGGAUGGGGCGGGGAAUGGUGUGGAUGAGGCGGAACCUGGCUUGCUGUGGGGCGGGGCCUGGCUGGGAUGGGGCGGGGAAUGGCUGGGGGCGGAGACUGCCGUGGAUGGGGCGGAACCUGGCUUGCUGUGGGGUGGGGCCUGACCACCGCACCCCAGGCCAGUCACCAACGCCACCAUCCUACUGGCGCCCGUCAGCAUGCUGAGCUCAGACUUCAGGCCCAGCCUGCCGCUGCCCCACUUCAACAAGCACCUGCUGGGCGCCGAGCACGGGGCGAGCAGCCGGGGCCUCACCCUGCGCCUGGGCCUCCACCAGCAGGGUUCAGAGCCCAGCUACCUGGACCGCACGGAGCAGCUGCAGGCCGUCCUGUGCAGCACCAUGGAGAAGAGCGUGCUUGGUGGCCAGGACCAGCUGCGGGUCCGUGUCACAGAGCUGGAGGACGAGGUGCGCAACCUGCGCAAGAUCAACCGGGACCUGUUCGACUUCUCCACGCGCUUCAUCACGCGGCCGGCCAAGUGAGGCCCAGAGACCCGGGCCCAAAGCCCAGGCCUGAGCCCCACGCCUCCCAGCGACCGGAGCCCACGGGUGUGGCCCCCACCAGCCCAGGCCUGGACUCUCCCCAGUUCUGCGUCGUGUUUGGGCUUUUCCUCUGUGACUGGGCGGUCUUGGUGUCUCGUGGCACGCGUCACAUUGGUGCUAGCCUGUUUUUAACAAAAGAGGAUGAAAGGCUUCUCUCCUGCCUCCUUGUGUCCGGGUGUGGCCUGGUGCUGGGCGCAUCGCAGCUCCACUCUGCUGCUCGGCCCAGCUCAGAACCCCAGCCCCACUGGGCACCCUCCAUCCGGAGGUAGAGACCUCAACCACGCUAGGCCUGGCAGGAACGGCUUUAGGACACAGCCCCGAGCAGCUGCAGUUCUGACUCUGCUCUAUUGCCCGAGGGCCUUUGCAUGGCCGCACCUUCCCGAGAAGGCACUGGGCCAGGGUGGUGGGUUUGAAGGAACCAGGAGGCCAGGCCCCUCUGGUCUGCUGUGCAGGGGGUCUGAGUGGAGACAGCCCUGUGGGGUCCCGAAGGGAGGUGGCUUGGUGUAGAGAGACGGGCCGGGGGACGUUUGGGGGUGGAUCCAGCUGCCAGGGUUGAGGGGUUUCGCCGGGUGCAGGGCCCAGCUCUCAGGGAGGGUUUUGGGGGUGGCUGGUCCCGGUGGGAACCCAGGGCUCCAGACCAGGCAGGAGGAGGGAGCCGGUGUGGGCGGGGCCUUGGAGCACAGGCUCCUCCCAGUGCCUCCCUCAGGUGCCUUGGGGCCCCUGCUGGCUUCCCCAGGGCCCAGCCAAAGCCGCCCAAACCCCACCCCAGGGCGGUUCUCUGGGCAAAAGGUGCCCUGGCCUCCCCAGGCAGAGGCGGCUUGCCCCACCCAGCAAAGGGGGCCACUGCAGCCUGGGACCACCAGAUGGGUCAGGGGCAGGUCUGGGCGUGGUGUCCUGGUCUGAGCCAGUCCCCAGAGGGGGUUGCCCGUUGGCCACACCACAGGCGGUGCUUGUGGAUAUCAAGGGCUUGAGGGAGGCCGGGCCCCUCCGCCCUGGGGAUGCUGCCAGCCAGUGCCUGGAGCCCAGCCCAGAAGCCCAGAACCUUCCAGAAAGCUGCCCCUGACUGACAGUCCUGCCUAACGAUCCAGAAAAUCCCUGUGAUUUAACGGGCGUGGUAAUGACUGCAGCUUGGAGCCAGUUGCCAGCGCUGAGUUCAUGCUUUUUGGCUAAUUUGUGUUCUUGUCCCCUCCACGGGGCUCUGAGCCCUCUCGGCUGGCGGCCUGGUCAUACUGCGUCAGGGCAGCUGGGCCCUCUCCUGGUACUGACAUCCACCUUGGCUGCUCACAGCCCUGAGAGCCUCUCGAGGGUCCCUUCCCCCUGGGCGCACACCCUGCUUGUGCCUGUCCCGUCAUGAACCGCUCACCCUGCUGGCCUGCAAGGCUGGGUCCUGCCUGUGGGGAGCACAAAGGUUUGGGGUGAGGCAGCUGAGGGUCCCUUGGGGUUGGCUGAUCUCUCUGGGUCUGUACUGCUCCCCUGGGGCCAUUCCCAUGGCCCCGCCCCCCCCCACAACCACCUCCCAAAGCUCCCCCACCAGCACCAAUCAGGACCCCCAGCCACCAACUCGGGGUAUCCUCACAAUCCUGUGGCUGGUGCCAGGGCUGGGGUGAGGGUGUGCACAGCUGUAGAGGGAUGGUUGCCCGCAGCCCCUAGGGGCUGGACUUGGCCACUUGGCCACAGCCGCUCCAAGAGCCCAAGGUGAGCCAGGUACGAACAUACAGGCCACUGCGCAGCUGCCUGCACCACACGGCCGUCCGGGGCUGGGGCUGAGGUCGGCUGCCCUCUCCGCAGGCUGCAGAACAGGGUUAGAGUUCACCGAGGGGCAGGGCCCGCCCACCCCACCCCCAUCGGAACCUAAAAUCACCUGGUAGCCUCAGACGGGCGACACCUGGCUUGGUCGGACUCGACUCGAUGUUCUUGUGUCCAGAAAGGGGGCAUCCCCCAGUGGGCCUGCCGGGACCCUCCGGGAGCUGGGCGGGAGCUGACGCCUCAGUCCCUGCGUUUCCCUCCAUGUUCCCCCUGCAUGCCUGGUCCUUGGACACAGGCCCCCUUAGUGCCUCCCCACACCCCCUCCUGCACCCUCAUCACUCUCGGCCCAGAGUGUCCAGACGUGCUCAGGCACCGAGGUUCCACCCUGCGUUGUAGUUGACAGGCUGGGUACAGUGGAAACAGUGGAGACGCCAUUUGUUCAGUCCCCCCUGGAGACCCCACAGAUUCUCAGAGGUACGGGUGCGGGGACUGGGGAGGCCAAGCCUUGACGAGAGGGGAUGCCGGUGUGCACAGGUGACCUGGCAGCUGGCAGGGCUUGACUCUGCAGAUCACAGCGAGGUGCACCUGCUCACCGCCAGGACAGCUGCCAGCAAAGCUGAGAGCAGAGAACCUCGUGGGCGAGGAGGUGGAGAAGCCACAGCCCUCCCGUGCCCUGGUGCGGACGUGAAAUGGGGCAUCCACUGUGAAAAGAGUCUGUGAAAAGACCACGCCCGGCCUGUCAGGUUCUUAAAAAAUUAAACAGCGGCCGGGCGCGGUGGCUCACGCCUGUAAUCCCUGCACUUUGGGAGGCCGAGACGGGCGGAUCACGAGGUCAGGAGAUCGAGACCAUCCUGGCUAACACGGUGAAACCCCGUCUCUACUAAAAUACAAAAAAAAAAAUUAGCCGGGCGCGGUGGCGGGCGCCUGUAGUCCCAGCUACUCGGGAGGCUGAGGCAGGAGAAUGGCGCGAACCCGGGAGGCGGAGCUUGCAGUGAGCUGAGAUGGUGCCACUGCACUCCAGCCUGGGCGACAGAGUGAAGACUCCGCCUCAAAAAAAAAAAAAAAAAAAUUAAACAGCAUUGUCUGGGCGCAGUGGCUCACACCUGUAAUCCCAGCACUUUGGGAGGCCAAGGUGGAUCAUGAGGUUAGGAGAUCGAGACCAUCCUGGCUAACAUGGUGAAACUCUGUCUCUACUAAAAAUACAAAAAAAAAAAAAAAAAAGCCAGGCGUGGUGGCGGCGCCUGUAGUCCCGCUACUCGGGAGGCUGAGGCAGAAGAAUGGCGUGAACCCGGGAGUCAUAGCUUGCAGUGAGCUGAGAUCGUGCCCCUGCACUCCAGCCUGGGCGACAGAGCGAGACUCCGUCUCAAAAAACAACAUUAAACAGCAUUAAGGUUGGACCCAGCGAGUCCACUUCUGGGCAUAUACCCAAGAGAAUGAGAGCGGGGUUUUGAAGUGAUCCACACACACAACUCACAACAGCUCCAUCCCCAUAGCCAAACAGUGGGGUAAGGCCAGGCGCCAUGGCUCAUCCCUGUCAUCCCAGCAUUGUGGGAGGCCGAGGCCGGCGGAUCACCUGAGGUCAGGAGACCAGCCUGGCCAACAUGGUGAAACCUCCUCUCUACUAAAAAUACAAAAGUUAGCCAGGUGUUGUGGCACGCACCUGUAAUCCCAGCUACUCAGGAGCCUAAGGCAGAAUUGCUUGAACCUGGGAGGUGGAGGUUGCAGUGAGCCGAGAUCGCCCCACUGCACUCCAGCCCAGAUAACAGAGCAAGACUUCGUCUCAAAAAAAAAUGGGGGGAGGGAACCAAGUGUCCACCAGCGGUUGGAGGGUCAGCACAACGUGGUCCUCUGCACAGUGGAAUAUUAUUCAGCCUUGAAAAGGGAUGAGAAAGCCCGGUGCAGUGGCUCACCCAGUAAUCCAGCACUGUGGGAGGCUGAGGCAGGAUAAUCACCUGAGCACAGGAGUUUGAGACCAGCCUGGGUAACAUCUCUACAAAACCCCAUCUCUAUAAAAAAUGUAAAUCUUAGCCAGGUGUGGUGUGUGCCUGUGGUCCCGGCUACUUAGGAAGUCAAGGCAGGAGGAUCGCUUGAGCCCAUGUGGUUGAGGCUGCAGUGAGCUGCACUCAGCCUCACUCCAGCCUGGGCAACAGAGCCAGAUGCAGUCUCAAAAAAAUAAAAAUAAAAGUGAGGCUCGGACACAGGCCAGAGUAUGGGUGCACCUUGAGGAUGUCACGCUCAGUGAGAGACGCCAGACACAGAAGGACAUGACCUGUCUGAUUCCACUCCUAGGAGGUCCGUAGAGUCUUCAGAUUCACAGAGACAGAAAGGAGGAUGGGAGGCGGCAGGGCUGGGGAGGGGGCGGGGAGUCAGUGUUCCUUGGGGACAGUUUCUGUUUGGGAAGAUGAGAAAGUUCUGGAGAGGAGGGCGGUGAGGGCUACAUAGCAAUGAGUGUGCUGAACGUGGCCGAACUGUGUACCUAGAAAUGGUUAAGAUGGCAAAUUUCACUUUAUGACUUUUACCACAAUAAAAGAUUUUUCAAAAGUAUCUUCCACGUGUCCACUUGUUCACAUGGCAGCUGGGAGUAGGAAUGCCCAUGUUGCCAUAUACAGAUGGGGAAACUGAGGCAGGGCACAAGGGGAGUUCCAGGAGGGCAGACACAGUCUCUGCCCCUAGGAACUCUUGCUCCUCAGAAGGUGCUGAACCCAGG